UGGGGAAUAUUGCGCAAUGGGGGCAACCCUGACGCAGCAACGCCGCGUGCGGGACGACGGCCUUCGGGUUGUAAACCGCUUUCAGCAGGGAAGAUAGUGACGGUACCUGCACAAGAAGCCCCGGCUAACUACGUGCCAGCAGCCGCGGUAAUACGUAGGGGGCGAGCGUUAUCCGGAUUCAUUGGGCGUAAAGCGCGCGCAGGCGGCUCUUCAAGCGGAACCUCUAACCCCGGGGCUCAACCUCGGGCCGGGUUCCGAACUGGAGGGCUCGAGUGCGGUAGAGGCAGGCGGAAUGCCCGGUGUAGCGGUGGAAUGCGCAGAUAUCGGGAAGAACACCGAUGGCGAAGGCAGCCUGCUGGGCCGGCACUGACGCUGAGGCGCGAAAGCUAGGGGAGCGAACAGG
rnacentral:rRNA from 1 species